CAAUAGCGUAUAUUAAAGUUGUUGCGGUAAAAAAGCUCGUAGUUGGAUUUCUACCGAAGAUAGCCGGUCGGGUCUUCGACCUUGUAUCUGGUUUUGUCUUUGGUAUCCUCAUAGGGAACGUUUCUGCGCUUUAUUGCGUGGUGCGGUAUCUAUGACUUUUACUUUGAGGAAAUUAGAGUGUUCACGGCAGGCAAACGCCUUGAAUAUAUUAGCAUGGAAUAAUAACAUAGGAUCUUCGUCCUAUUUUGUUGGUUUCUAGGGCUAAGAUAAUGAUUAAUAGGGAUAAUUGGGGGCAUCUGUAUCAACGCGUCAGAGGUGGAAUUCUUAGAUUGCGUUGCGACAAACUACUGCGAAAGCAUUUGCCAAGGAUGUUUUCAUUGA
rnacentral:rRNA from 1 species